CAAGUCCAGAAUGCUAUUUGUUUGUUAGAUUUUGGGUUUGUUCCCCUUUAGGUUUCUUGAGUGGUGGAUCUGUUUCCGCAUUCUCGGCUGGGGUGCUUAUCCUGCCCGGGGUCUCCUGCACACACCUGCCUGCCCAUCCCUGCCUGUGAGCUCCCAUCCCCAGCCCUGGGGUGUUCAUGUGUCUGCGGAGCACACCAUCACCCUCAUUCAAAGGGACAGCUCCACAGUGAAGCUGAGACACUGGCAGGAGCCGUCACCUCCCAGCACAAGCUAAACGCAUUACUUCCUCAGACUGACAGAGAUCGGGGACCACUGAGACAGAACAUCUGUCGAAGGACAAUGAGAAUUUGAUUAGAAGAGAACAUGGACUUUCUCUUGAAGCUGUUUCAGCACUGCCUUGGGAAUAGAAAUUGGUCAGUCUCCUCCAAAAGGCUUUGUUCAUACCCUGCACCAUCACUGGGAGAAUAUUUCCUUUCCAUCUACAAUAAACUCUAAGGUGAGAUACUAAGAAAUCUGUGCGGAUUGGUAAAACAAAGUCAAAAGAAAUCAAAACAGAAUGAAAAGAGCACAACUCCUAAGGUCCUGACUUAGAGUCCUAAAGAUUCUUGCUGAGGACUUUGUAGCAGGCACUGGGCUGCUGCCUGCUAGCUCUGUGUAUCUAGAUUAUGAGUCUUCGCUUUUUCCAAACCAAUGAAAUAAAUAAUACAUCCCCUGCCAGGGGCAAACUUCCACAUG
rnacentral:lncRNA from 1 species